CCUGAACCCAUACGCCUACAAGCUGUCGGAGCCGCUUCGUGCGGUGACGGCGUGCCUUUUGCAUAAUGAGCCUACGAGUUACUCAUCACCAGCGAGGUUAAGUACUUCAGGUACGUAAGCCGAAGCGAAAGCGAGUCUGAAUAGGGCGUCAAGUUGGUGGUGGUAGACGCGAAACCUUAGUGAUCUACCCAUGGGCAGGGUGAAGGUUUGGUAACACAAACUGGAGGCCCGAACCGGUAAACGUUGAAAAGUUUUCGGAUGACCUGUGGGUAGGGGUGAAAGGCCAAUCAAACUGGGAAAUAGCUCGUACUCUCCGAAAUGCAUUUAGGUGCAGCCUCUGUUGUUUUGUUCUAGAGGUAGAGCUACUGAUUGGAUGCGAGGGCUUCACCGCCUAUCAAAUCCGGCCAAACUCCGAAUGCUAGAACAUAAAGACAGGGAGUGAGCCAGCGGGUGCUAAGGUCCGUUGACGAAAGAGGGAGAACUCAGACCAUCAGCUAAGGUCCCCAAUUAUAUGCUAAGUUGGAAUAAAAACGGGGUGGGACUGCUUAGACAGCUAGGAUGUUGGCUUGGAAGCAGCCAUUCAUUUAAAGAGUGCGUAACAGCUCACUAGUCGAGCGGUCCUGCAUGGAUAAUACGCGGGCAUAAGCAUAUAACCGAAGCUAUGGGAUUGUAGAUGAUACAAUCGGUAGGAGAGCAUUCCAUUCAGCAUAGAAGCAGUACCGUGAGGUAUUGUGGAGCGGAUGGAAAAGCAAAUGUAGGCAUAAGUAACGAUAAUGCGGGUGAGAACCCCGCACGCCGAAAGAUCAAGGAUUCCCCGGCAAUGUCAAUCAUCCGGGGGUAAGUCGGAUCCUAAGGGUAAGCCGAGUGGCGAUCCCGAUGGCAAACAGGUUAAUAUUCCUGUACUGAUCAUAACUGCGAUGCAGCGACGCAGAGGUGACACUGCUGCGUACUGACGGAAUAGUACGUUGAAACCCGUAUUCUUUGAUACCGGUAGUGAAGCACGCCGGUAGAGAUGAAAGGUGAUAGUACCGCAAUGCUUCGGUUGCGCGGAUAAUGCAGGUAAGCUGACUGCCAAGAAAACCUGCUAAGCUUCAGGUAAUGAUCAUCCGUACUGUAAACGGACACACGUGAUCAGGAGAAAAUACUAAGGCGCUCGAGAGAUUCAUGGUUAAGGAACUAGGCAAAAUGGUCCUGUAACUUCGGGAUAAAGGACGCUCUUGUGAAAGAGCCGCAGAUAAUAGGCCCAGGCGACUGUUUACCAAAAACACAUGGCUAUGCUAAUUCGCAAGAAGAUGUAUAUGGCCUGACACCUGCCCGGUGCCGGAAGGUUAAGAGGAGAGCUCAGAUGUAAGUCGAAGGUUUGAAUUGAAGCCCCGGUAAACGGCGGCCGUAACUAUAACGGUCCUAAGGUAGCGAAAUUCCUUGUCGGGUAAGUUCCGACCUGCACGAAUGGUGUAACGAUCUGGGUACUGUCUCAACCAUGAGCUCGGUGAAAUUGUAGUUCCGGUGAAGAUGCCGGAUACCCGCAACGGGACGGAAAGACCCCGUGAACCUUUACUGCAGCUUUGCAUUGAUUUUGGGUAACAGAUGUGUAGGAUAGGUCGGAGGCUUUGAUGCUGCGUCGUCAGGCGUAGAGUAGCCGUCGUUGAAAUACGACCCUUUUGUU
rnacentral:rRNA from 1 species